GAUUUCCUGAGUAGCGGCGAGCGAAACGGAAUUAGCCCAAACCAAGAGGCUUGCCUCUUGGGGUUGUAGGACACUCUAUACGGAGUUACAAAGGAACGAAGUAAAUGAAGCGACCUGGAAAGGUCCGUCGAAGAAGGUAACAACCCUGUAGUUGAAACUUCGUUCCCUCUUGAGUGGAUCCUGAGUACGGCGGAACACGUGAAAUUCCGUCGGAAGCUGGGAGGACCAUCUCCCAAGGCUAAAUACUACCUAGUGACCGAUAGUGAACCAGUACCGUGAGGGAAAGGUGAAAAGCACCCCGGAAGGGGAGUGAAAGAGAUCCUGAAACCGUGUGCCUACAAGUAGUCAGAGCCCGUUAACGGGUGAUGGCGUGCCUUUUGUAGAAUGAACCGGCGAGUUACGAUCCCAUGCAAGGUUAAGCUGAUAAGGCGGAGCCGUAGCGAAAGCGAGUCUGAAUAGGGCGUUUAGUAUGUGGUUGUAGACCCGAAACCAGGUGAUCUACCCAUGUCCAGGGUGAAGUUCAGGUAACACUGAAUGGAGGCCCGAACCCACGCACGUUGAAAAGUGCGGGGAUGAGGUGUGGGUAGCGGAGAAA
rnacentral:rRNA from 2 species